GCGCCAAAAGCCGAAGCGGUCGAGGCACUUGUUUGUGAAGCAAGUAAUUAACGGGUUCAAGCCCCGUUUGGCGCCC
rnacentral:tRNA from 2 species